rnacentral:lncRNA from 1 species
UCCUUUACAAAGAUUUUAAUGGUAGAAAUUAAAAAAAUAUUGACAUGGAUGGGACUAUAUGGUGUUCCUAUUAAUGCAAUCAUUAUUCUUUUUUUUCAGUGUUUUAAUGCAUAUAUUUAGAACGUUAAAUUGAACAUAAAUUAAGAGAAUUACAUCAUACAUUUCUCUUUCUUAAUUGUGCCUAGUCUGGUUUAACUUAGUAUAAUAAACAUAUUGAGACUUGGACAACUAUCUUCAUGUACAAAAUUCAAAUAUAAUGAGAAGAAAAAAUCUUUCGACUUGAUCAUAUACUGUCCCUCACCCUUGAUCGUUUGCCCUUUUCACACUUGCAAGCCAAGGAACUUACGUCGACGAGUCCUGAUAAAAUAUGAUUCAACUGAGAUUCGACAUUUUUUUAACCACAAAAUUCUCAAUUUUCAUUUCGGUCGAACCUUGUAGAGGAAGUCUCAAACAUUGAAUAAUCUUGCCAACUAACUUCAAAAUAUAAGAAAAUUGCUAAUCCUCAAAGCUCACCAACAUGUCAGAAGUACUACAUACCUCUUAACACAAACACGUGCAAUGACAAUGCAAAUCCCAACUCAUCACUACGUACUUCUCAAAUGAUCAUGACACCCUCUAUCACAUUGUAGUGCUUGGUACAAAGCCAUUAAUUUUCCGCAAUUUUCUCUUCUAACAUCAAUUUCGUUAUUAGGGACCAUAGAUAAACCGAUCCCUGUCCACAUUUGCUGUGACAUUGUGAUUUUAAUUAACAUUGGAGACAAAAACAUGUUACUCUUUGCAAUUCAGAAGCCAAUUAAUUAUCCUAUCAUUUUCGACGCUGCCAUUUGUCUUAGCCAGCUCAUGUAUCGGGGAAAAAUGAUGGUCCCGGGAAAAUCCGAGUUUAUAUAUCGCAACCAACCCAUGAGCGAGAGAAGCAGAGUACUAGUGACUAUUUCUUUUUACAAUGGAAAGUUGUUUACUCAAAUAUAAUUGAAUAUCAAUACUCGUUCUCUGGAUGAGCCACCGGAAAGAUCGUUCCAGGAGUACGCCCACAUUGGUUUUUCGCGAAUUCCACUUUCAAGAAGUGUGUGACAUCAAUGUUGUGUCAUUAAGGUCCCGUAAAGAUGAGACCACAAAUCGAACAGUCCCUGUCAUUUGCUGUCAUAUUGUUGUUACGCAGUUUUUACCUAUGUAAUUCUAGAAGCCAAAGAAUAGAAUAAGAGAAAAUGGCCACACACGUAUGCACAGAGACAACAAGAAUAAAUGAUUGAGAGUUCAUCCUUUUGUGAGGAUAGUCAUAUCAUUUUCGAACCUGCAAUUUUGUCUUUGCCAGCUUCUGUGGGGAAGAAAAGAAGAUGGUCCCCUCAAAAUCCCAAUUAAGGAAUCAAUGUUGUGCUUUCACUUUUCAUCAUUUGCUGGCUAUUUCCGAAUGUGCGUCGACUGGCACCACCGGCACUCUCUUCGCCUAUCUACAUCACUCCUAAGAAGCUCAAGUCUAACUUAUAUUCAGCUGUCCACUAAAAAACUUGCAGCAACAAGAUGUAAAUAUAAUCUUAAAGUCAUAAACAGCCAUUAUAACAUGAAAGUCACAGCAUUCUAAGAUUUCUCAGAGCCAAACAUUAGCAUCCUACCAAUCUUUAAAACGAAAUGUCCGCUUAGGCACAAAGUGCAUGCUUUAGUAUGCAACAUCGGACACAACCGGAAAUUAUAAUGAACAUUUUAGCUUCUUUUUCUUUAUUAGUACCAACCGGUGCUAUCUGAUUUCCUGUAUCAAACAUGCUAUAUAUACAUCAAUAAAUGGGUUAUUAAAACAUGGAUUUUCAUUAGGCACUCUCUUUUUUCUUAGACAUAUUACAGAGGGGACUCAGUUAUGCCAACUAUCAAAACUUAGCCCUAAGAACUGUUUCAAAUUGAUAUACCCCAAAAAUAUUAAAUUCAUAUAUAAGCAAUUCAAAUGGCAUAUAAUAACAAACACCUCAAACUAUUUAACAUUUGUUGAGGCAUCAAUCAAUCUCACAUUAAGUUCUAGGAUUUCGAAAUCAUGCACACAAAGAUAGAUAGGAGGGCAAAAGCAGCCUUGAGAAGGCCGAAACAGUGCACUGGUUCAUGUCACAAAACAAAGAUUGUUGCGAGCCCAUGAAAGUUGUGCACAGUGCAUUGUGGUUCUUGUCUAUAUUCCAGGUAGAUUUAAAUUGCAACUCAUGAUUAUCAGAACAAUGGAAAGAAAGUUAAAAAGUAUAAUUGUAGAAUAUUCAGAACACAAACUUCAAAGAAGCAAUAACAUGAACUCAUAUGCAUCGCAAGACAAUUCAAUAAAAUAUAAAUGAAAAGUCAAGAGUCUGUCAAGCAUUGGGGAAAAAAUGAAUUCAUAUUGAUAAAGGUCGUAGUAGAAAUAGAAAAUUAAGGUUUGGACUUGCAAAAUUGAAAAAAAUAACUCAAAAACUACUACAGUAAAAGGCAUAUAAAAAAAUACUCAUGUAUUUGACACUGGUGCUUCUAUAAGUUAAAUGUUGAACUACCAAAUCUAAAAGCUUAAGCUGCAGAUGAUGCUAUGUAUAUUAUUUAAAUAUUAUUUUCAACAUGUCCCCUCGCAUGAAGGACGGGUUUAUCUUUUCCAAUAAAAGCCAGACAGAUGAACAAUUGUAUUACAUGGGUUGCAAACUUUGCUCUCACACCAAAAGAUAAAGAGAACUGUAGUAGAAAAAAUAUUCUGUAUAUUUUUUCACUGAAAGAAUUACAUGUUAUAUGCAAUUCCGGAGAGAAAUUAAAAAAGAAACCACCCAAAUCACCUACAAAUUA